GCACACUGCCUCUGUAAUGUGCUUCAACAGCUCGCAACAACAACUAAGGUCAAGCAUGUUGUAAGUGAUUUUUUUUGUAAGUGACUUUUCUCAAUCUGUGUGUUCGCUCACUGUACAAGACUGUCAAGGCUGAGCCAGGAGAGAUGGAGAUGAUAGUGCAAGCGAGCCUCUCCAGAAAGUCCUCUGUUACUCCAUCUGUCCCUUCAGCCAGUGACAUAGAUGCUCUAAUCACCUCGCAUGGCAUGCCUCACAUGGGAAAAGACUACACAACCGCCAUACUCUCUCGGAUAAAGAGCCGCUACUGGAUGCCAGCACCUCACAGGGGGAUCACCAACAAAGCCCGAAAACAGUGAUGCCAAGUGGGGUGUUUGUAUUGAGUAUAUGUGACAUAUGCCGGCUGGUGUCUGCGGUCCAUCAAUAGCGUACAUCAAAAUGGUCCUGAAAGCAUGAAGCUCAGUUUUGGACAAAGGCUGCAAGUUUACAUUAGGGAGUAUAUUGAAAGUGGGCAUCAACUAUCACAGCAGGAGAGC